rnacentral:lncRNA from 11 species
CUGGACCUUGGCUCUGUAACUCCUGGGUUAGAAUUCUGGACCCUGACCUAGUUCCUGUAAUCCUGUUUUGGACUCUGCUGCUCCUAGUUGUUGACCUGGCAGCUUUUGACAAGUUUGAGACUUCUCUGAGAGACAGUUUGGCUCCUACAGUGCUU